UUCAGGGUGAUUUAUUUUAUUGAUAAAAUAUGAAAUAAGUUGACAAGUGUGACAAAAACUAUACUGUAAUAAAUAAUGGUAUACAAAUGAAUCUUUCUACAUAGAGACGAUUGUGGGAAACAAGACUCACUUUAAUUUCCCAGCAGUGCACAUAUUAUAUGAGAUACAAAGAAUAACAAUGUGUUACAUCAUGUAAAGAUGAUGAUAUAAGUGACCUCAGAAUAAGGUCAAGGUCAAGAAAAAGUCUUAACAGACUUGUUUCCUUAAAACAUCCACAUCACAAGAUACAAACAUGUAUGACAACAAAAGUCAUGCGACCAUAUAGUCACAUGAAUUCCAAGUUACAUGGCAACAAAAGUCACAUGACUAUCAAGUUAUGUGGCAACUGAGGGAUAUGACUUUGAUAUUGCAUGACAUCCAAGUCACAUAGCUAAUAAGUCACAUGUAAAAUAGGUCAUGUGACUAUCGGUAAGCAUCACUUGCAAGUCAAAAUUUCCCCAUGGCCAUGGUGAACCAGGUCAAAUGACAACAGUGGACCAGGUCACAUGGCAACAGUGAACCAGGUCACAUGACUGACAAGUCACAUGGGUGUGGAGGUGGACAAUGUUUGUAAAAUGCAGCAAAGAGACAUGCGAUACUUUGGAGGUUAAAAGAAGACAGACAUAUACACUUUCAAAUGAUGGCAUACAGCACUAUUAAUAUUCCUCUCUUACCAAAAUCUAAAAUUUAUUCUGAAUUUCACAAUGAUUUACCAGCUGAUAGAAAUGGUGCAUGCAUACCUUAUAUCAAUUACCAUUAGAUUAUCUGAUUCUGUGCCAUUUACCAACACUUGCUUGUGUGCCUACUAUAAUAGGGUAAACAGAUCAUGUAAAACAACUUCUAUGACCAGGACAAUACUAAUCAAAGGUGUCUGACA